AAAACAACUUUCUCCAUAUUUGAGUAAUGUUUUGUAUUCAUUUAUUUAUCUAGGAUGAAGAAUAGCAGGAACAUGAGAGGCUCUCCUGGGAAUGCAUCGAAGGAGCGCUGGUGGAGGCUCUCUAGUUAAUCACUUUGUCAAAAGGAGUACUUUUUCCAGUGUGCAACAUUAUUCACUUAACUUUUCAUUAGGCCUUUUCAUGUGUAAUUGCUGUAAGGAGCAGUAAGUGAUGUUUCAUGCCACAAAAGGAUAGCUAUUCAUUGUAUUUGGGCUUCCUCCAGAUGAAAGGUAAUGUCUGUUUCUUAAAUGUUUUACAGUUUUUAGAAUUGCUUUGAAAUUCUCUGCAGUUCUGCAGUUUUGGGGGCAAAACCAAAAAUUUUGUAGUGACUGAGUGAACUGAUUUAUGAAAACAGUUUGUUUCUAGCAGCUAUUUCCCAGACAAUUGUAUAUGAGUAUAAUCUGCCUAUAUUUCAAAGAUAUGAGCAUUUGAGUCAGAAGAGAUGACCAGUGUUACAUCAGAAUAGUUGAUUAUGCUGGUUCUAGUCACAUAGCAGACUUUGGAUCUCCUCUUAGAAAGUUCUUGCAAGGGGGCAUCCCCAAGAGUCCAUUGUUUCAAACCCAAGUUUUCCUGCAGAGUAAACCAUAUAUGACAUGGUUUCCUUUCAUGUGCUUGGAGCUACUGGGAUGCUUUUGAAACUUCCUAGUGCUUGAUGGCUUGAAAAACACAGUUUUGUCAGGAUGCUGCACACCUCUAACUUCCACUGAUUUCUGGGAUUUGCAGUCUCGGUCUCAGCCUGUACCAGCUGUUCAUCUGGCUCAGCGUCACCUCCUUAACCACAGGCAGCACUUCUGUUGCAUAAUACAAAGGAACUUGGUUUCUUUUUUCCACCUUUGCUGCCUCAGUCCUCACAAUGAACUGAAGAACUACGUUUUUGUUUGACCCCACAGCUAAGGACAGCUUUAAUGACAAGGUUGGUUUCGUAGACAGACCACUGAAUUUUGUAUUCCUCUGGCAUUACAGCAUAGAUGUUUUGUGCCAGUGGUGUUUACACUGGAAAAAAAAGAGUUCCUUUAUGUACUAUGAAAGCAACAGAUUGAGUACAGUAGUUUGUUCUGCAUUUUCUGUAUUGUUUGCUGACUGUUAUUAACUCCACCUCAUUUAUUCCUUUAAAAGCUUGGAAGUUUCAGUUGUGUAAUUCUCAGUGUG
rnacentral:lncRNA from 1 species